rnacentral:ncRNA from 17 species
CCGCGACACCGUGGUGAUUUGGUGCCGGAUUGCAGGCCACGUAAAACACGCUGCUAAAAGGACGCGGAACCCCCGAG